GGAAAAGAAGCGUUUGGCCUUCGUCCAAAAAAAACUCAAAGACCUUAUCAUUUACCAUAUUCAUCACCAAGCAAGCAAUGGUGCAUUAGUAAUGGUCACUGGUGCAUGAAUUAGUGGUUGGAAUAUGGUUAUAUGUAGCUUCUUCAAUGGCGUCCAACUGAGAUGGUGGGCUGAUCUGUAGAGAAAGAUCAGGAAAGAUAUGCCCAGUCCUCAUGUCCAUUUUACUGAUAGAUUUUGAGAAAAGGAGAGAGGGGUUUAGAGAGAAAAGUUUAGAAAAAAUAGCAAGCUACAAUAUAUAAGGGUUCGGGAG
rnacentral:lncRNA from 1 species